UACGGAGGGUGCGAGCGUUAAUCGGAAUAACUGGGCGUAAAGGGUACGCAGGCGGGGAUUUAAGUGAGAUGUGAAAUCCCCGAGCUUAACCUGGGAAUAGCAUUUGAGACUGGGAAUCUAGAGUACGUUAGGGAGGGGUAGAAUUCCAGGUGUAGCGGUGAAAUGCGUAGAGAUGAGGAGGAAUACCGAAGGCGAAGGCAGCCCCUUGGGAAUGUACUGACACUCAUGUACGAAAGCGUGGGGAGCAAACAGG
rnacentral:rRNA from 1 species